UACGUAGGGGGCAAGCGUUGUCCGGAUUUAUUGGGCGUAAAGAGCGUGUAGGCGGCCAUACAGGUCCGUUGUGAAAACUGGAGGCUUAACCUCCAGACGUCGAUGGAAACCGUAUGGCUAGAGUCCGGAAGAGGAGAGUGGAAUUGCCGGUGUAGUGGUGAAAUGCGUAGAGAUCGGCAGGAACACCCAGGGGGAAACCAGCUGCCUGGGCAAGCGCUGACGCUGAGGUGCGAGAGCGUGGGGAGCGAACCGG
rnacentral:rRNA from 1 species